GCCCCUAUAGCUUAAUGGAUAAAGCGUCUCUCUGCGGAGGAGAAAAUGGCUGUUCGAGUCAGCCUAGGGGCA
rnacentral:tRNA from 1 species